rnacentral:snoRNA from 1 species
AAUCCCUGACCUGGGUAGAGUGGCAUUUGGCACCAAUUUCAUAUUAGUCAGGGACUAAGCAACUUUGUGUUUGUCCCGACUUGGCUUUUGUUCUGUGCCCAUGCCUGGUUGGUGGCUUAGACACAUGG